AAGCGGUACGCGAGCUGGGUUCAGAACGUCGUGAGACAGUUCGGUCCCUAUCCGUCGUGGGCGUAGGAAAUUUGAGAGGAGCUGUCCUUAGUACGAGAGGACCGGGAUGGACAUACCUCUGGUGUACCAGUUGUCGUGCCAACGGCAUAGCUGGGUAGCUAUGUGUGGACGGGAUAAGUGCUGAAAGCAUCUAAGCAUGAAGCCCCCCUCAAGAUGAGAUUUCCCAACUUCGGUUAUAAGAUCCCUCAAAGAUGAUGAGGUUAAUAGGUUCGAGGUGGAAGCAUGGUGACAUGUGGAGCUGACGAAUACUAAUCGAUCGAAGACUUAAUCAAAA
rnacentral:rRNA from 1 species